rnacentral:rRNA from 1 species
UUAAAAAGCUCGUAGUUGGAUUCCUGACCUGGGGUAGCCGGUCCGCCUUGCAAAAGGUGCGCACUGAGCGGCCUCGGUCAUCCUUGAGAAGAGCGGUCCUGGCAUUCAGUUGUCGGGGUCGGGAUUCUCGACGUUUACUGUGAAAAAAUCAGAGUGUUCAACGCAGGCUUACGCCUUGAAUACAUUAGCAUGGAAUAAUGAGAUAGGACCUUGGCGGUCUAUUUUGUUGGUUUGCACGCCGAGGUAAUGAUUAAAAGGGACGGUUGGGGUUCUUCGUAUUCAAUUGUCAGAGGUGAAAUUCUUGGAUUUAUGGAAGACGAACUGCUGCGAAAGCGUCGAACAAGGACGUUCUCAUUAAUCAAGAACGAAAGUUAGGGGAUCGAAGAUGAUUAGAUACCACCGUAGUCUUAACCAUAAACUAUGCCGAUUCAGGAUUGGCGGUCGUUUGUUCUCGACUCCGUCAGCACUGUAUGAGAAAUCAAAAUCUUUGGGUUCCGGGGGGAGUAUGGUCGCAAGGCUGAAACUUAAAGAAAU